AGGGUGUGUGUGUAGGGUGUGUGGGGUGUGUGUGUAGGGUGUGUGAGGUGUGUGUGUAGGGUGUGUAGGGUGUUUGGGGUGUGUGUGUAGGGUGUGUAGGGUGUGUGUGUAGGGUGUGUAGGGUGUGUGUGGGGUGUGUGUGUAUGAGAGCCAGGUGUAUGCAGGGUGUGUGUGUAGGGUGUGUGGGGUGUGUGUGUAGGGUGUGUGGGGUGUGUGUGUAGGGUGUGUGGGGGUGUGUGUGUGUGUAUGAGAGCCAGGUGUAUGUAGGAUGUGUCAGUCUUGUGUGUGUGUGUAGGGUUUGUGGGGUGUGUGUAUGAGAACCAGGUGUAUGUAGGGUGUGUAGG
ensembl:lncRNA